rnacentral:tRNA from 1 species
CGUGGACCUGCUGUUCAGAAGGGGUGUCCCUCGUGAGGGGCACCCCUUCUUAUUUCCUGGUGUCAAGCGAAUCGCAACCGAUUUC